rnacentral:lncRNA from 1 species
CUUGACGAGUAAAUAGUAUACAUGGUAUUUGCUCAUUUUCGUUUCCCCAUCAAUAAUCAGAAAUAUAACUAUCACGUUUUUUUCUUUCUACAUAAUUUCCACUGGUAACUGUUUAAGUUUUCCAGAAGCCCAUAAGCGACCAACAACCGUCAACUGAAAAGUUACAAAUUAUUUUUUGCAAAAUGUUGAUUGACCAUUAUUUCAUCUGUUCAAUAACCUUUACA